rnacentral:rRNA from 1 species
GACGGGGGGUGCAAGCGUUAUCCGGAAUCACUGGGCGUAAAGCGUCUGUAGGUGGUGAUGCAAGUCACUGGUGCAAAACUCUGGCUCAACCGGAGGAAAGCCAGUGAAACUGCAUGACUAGAGUGUGGGAGAGGUAGAAGGAAUUCCCUGAGUAGCGGUGAAAUGCGUAGAUACAGGGAAGAACACCGGAGGCGAAAGCGUUCUACUGGACCACAACUGACACUGAGAGAAGAAAGCUAGGGGAGCGAAUGGG